CAGUCGCCACGGUAAUACAGAGGGUGCAAGCGUUAAUCGGAAUUACUGGGCGUAAAGCGCGCGUAGGUGGUUUGUUAAGUUGGAUGUAAAAUCCCCGGGCUCAACCUGGGAACUGCAUCCAAAACUGGCAAGCUAGAGUAUGGUAGAGGGUGGUGGAAUUUCCUGUGUAGCGGUGAAAUGCGUAGAUAUAGGAAGGAACACCAGUGGCGAAGGCGACCACCUGGACUGAUACUGACACUGAGGUGCGAAAGCGUGGGGAGCAAACAGGAUUAGAUACCCGUGUAGUCCCUGUCUCUUAUAC
rnacentral:rRNA from 1 species